GUCGAAGUGGCGGAAUUGGUAGACGCGCGGGACUAAGGAUCCCGUGGGAGAGAUCCUGUGGGGGUUCAAGUCCCCCCUUCGACA
rnacentral:tRNA from 1 species